ensembl:lncRNA
GGCAACGGGGCGAACGAACGACGGGAACCUGGAGAGAGAGAUUACCUGAACAGCUGGGAUUGUGCAGAAAGAAGGUCAUACAGGUUUGGAACAACAUGAAAACUUCUGGGAAUGCACACGUCUUUCAUCACAGCUGCCACAGGGAGCCCUGUAAUGACAAGCAACCCUGUCGCCUUGAAAAGAUGGAUGUUUUUCCAUGAGGAAGAAGACGUGACCCGUGGGAGGAUGUUGUCUCGAUUUCUCUGCUACUCGCUGAUGAUAACCGACUUCUACCACCCUUAAUAAGCUGGUGAAAUGUAUGAACGACCGUCAUGGUUGGAGUUUGAAGAGAAUCUUUCCACCCGAGUAACAUCACGUCCAGUUUAAAGUCACAGAUAUUUGAAGCAGAUAUCCAGGCAUCUACAGCCCAUGAAAACAAACACAUCAAUAGAAUGCAACUGAGAAAAGGCCCAUGUUUACUCCAGAUUACAGCCCUCAAAGAUCUGCAUCAGAGCACCUGUGAUGUGGAUAAUGAGUGUGUAGAACACCAAACACGAGUGUGAGGGCCAGAUAAAGGAUGAAUUAUAGAUACGGCGCUCCAGGGCAAAACACUGCUGCGGGGGGAGAGAUGGAGAAUCUGGAGGAGCGUUCCUGGAUAAUGAAUCCCACAGGCUGCAUGAGAUCAGGAGGAGAGCAGCACUAGAAGGGGAGCGUGUUUUGUGGAGUGAUGGAGAAUUCCCAGGUAAUUGCAGUCAAGAUGCUGUGACUUGGAGGAGGACGUGUGUUUGGAUCCCGGGAUACUCGAACUUUUCCUCUCAGUGUAUUUCAUUUUAUCACAC